GACAGAGGCCUCGAGCGUUAGGCGGAAUCACUGGGCUUAAAGCGUGUGUAGGCGGGCCCGUAAGUACCUUGUGAAAUCCCACGGCUCAACCGUGGAACGGCUGGGUAUACUGCGGGUCUUGGGCCAACUAGGGGGCAGCCGGAACAAGCGGUGGAGCGGUGAAAUGCGUAGAUAUCGCUUGGAACGCCGAAGGUGAAAAACAGGCUGCUGGGGUUGCGCCGACGCUGAGACACGAAAGCCAGGGGAGCGAACAGG
rnacentral:rRNA from 1 species